AUUGAACGCUGGCGGCAUGCUUUACACAUGCAAGUCGAACGGUAACAGGCCUUCGGGUUCUGACGAGUGGCGAACGGGUGCGUAAUGCAUCGGAACGUACCCAGAGGUGGGGGAUAACGCAGCGAAAGCUGUGCUAAUACCGCAUGUGAUCUGAGGAUGAAAGCGGGGGACCGAGCAGCAAUGUUUGGCCUCGCGCCUUUGGAGCGGCCGAUGUCGGAUUAGCUAGUUGGUGGGGUAAAGGCCUACCAAGGCGACGAUCCGUAGCUGGUCUGAGAGGACGACCAAGGACAAUGUGGAUUAGAUACAUGCCCAUCGUCUAACGGAGGAAGCAGGUGGGGAUUUUUGACCAUGGGGGCCAGCCCUGUCCAGCCAUGUCGGCGGGGGGAAAAAGGCCGUUCGGGUGGUAAACCAUUUUUGCCGGGACGAAAAGGUUUUCGGUAAUACCCGGCGCUAAUGACGGUACCUUCAGAAUAAGCACCGGCUAACUACGUG
rnacentral:rRNA from 1 species